rnacentral:rRNA from 1 species
AGGGUUCGAUUCUGGCUCAGAACGUACGCUGGCGGCACGCCUAACACAUGCAAGUCGAACGCAGUAGCAAUACUGAGUGGCAAACGGGUGAGUAUAAUGUGGGAAUCUGCCUUUUGGUUUGGAAUAACACGGGGAAACUUGUGCUAAUACCGAAUAAGCCCUUACGGGGGAAGUUUUAAUGCCGAAAGAUGAGCCCGCACUUGAUUAGCUAGUUGGUAAGGUAAAAGCUUACCAAGGCAACGAUCAAUAGCUGUUCUUAGAGGAAGACCAGCCACAUUGGGACUGAGACACGGCCCAGACUCCUACGGGAGGCAGCAGUGGGGAAUCUUGCACAAUGGGGGAAACCCUGAUGCAGCGAUGCCGCGUGAGUGAAGAAGGCCUUUGGGUUGUAAAACUCUUUCGUCGGGGAAGAAAAUGACUGUACCCGAAUAAGAAGGUCCGGCUAACUUCGUGCCAGCCGCCGCGGUAAUUC